CACACCGAUGAGAUGUGAAGACAAGCCAAGUGCCAUUUCUCUGCCUAAGGGUCCCUGAGGAAGCCACACAGCAAGGAGGUGGAAAGGAGGGCAGGAGAAUGGACCAAAAGGAUCUGGAAAUGUGGUUUCCUUUUUGUGGUGACCCAAGAGCUACCUGACAACUGUGCUGUCCUCUGAAAAGGUGGGCAUCCAAAUGCUGUAGACCCAGGCGGAGGCAGGCUUCCCUACAUGCCUGAGCCUCACCAUUCCUUCACCAAGGAACCCAGAUGAGCUACCUCACUCUCCCUCUUCCAGUCCUGCCCUGGAUCCAGCCUCUAGUAGCUCCUCCACUACACAUCCCAGCUCAGCCAAUGACCCAACACCCACAUGAGCCACAACCAUUUGAGCCCCACCAGAUGCAGUCUCCCCGUUGUCCAUGCAACACUCAUAGGCUCUUGGUCCUCUGUCCAGAGUGAGUGCUAGAGGUGCCAAAACCAGGCAGAGAGUGGCUCUGCCCUUGGCGCCUCCAUUUACUCAACAGCCUCCUGGGAGGAAGGUAUGGCACAGGUACCACUGAAGGCACCAAGAAUAUAAUGUAAGACUUUCCCACAAGAAAUGUAUAUGCUAACUGAGAAGGAAUAGGACUGAGCAAAGUGCAUGGGAUAAAGAGCUCAAGUGACUUGGGGGAUCUGAGACUGAGGAAAAUAAGAAGCAAGAGGAGCCCAGGGGUAUGGCUGAGGCAGGAGGAACAAGGGAGUAUCGGGAGGGAGUUUUCAGGGGU
rnacentral:lncRNA from 1 species